AAGGUUCUAUGGGGUCCCAUUGGUUUCUAUGGGGCUCCAGAAGGGUCUGGGGGGCUCUGUGGGAAUCUAGAAGGCUCUGUGGGGUUCUAUGGGGUCCCA